rnacentral:rRNA from 1 species
UACAGAGGUCUCAAGCGUUGUUCGGAUUCAUUGGGCGUAAAGGGUGCGUAGGUGGCGCCGUAAGUCAGGUGUGAAAUUUCGGAGCUUAACUCCGAAACUGCAUUUGAUACUGCGGUGCUUGAGGAUUGGAGAGGAGACUGGAAUUCACGGUGUAGCAGUGAAAUGCGUAGAUAUCGUGAGGAAGACCAGUGGCGAAGGCGGGUCUCUGGACAGUUCCUGACACUGAGGCACGAAGGCCAGGGGAGCAAACGGG